UAAUAUCAGCUGGUAAUCCUGAG
rnacentral:miRNA from 3 species